rnacentral:rRNA from 1 species
UAGCUUGCUACCUGACCUAGCGGCGGACGGGUGAGUAAUGCUUAGGAAUCUGCCUAUUAGUGGGGGACAACAUUCCGAAAGGAAUGCUAAUACCGCAUACGCCCUACGGGGGAAAGCAGGGGAUCUUCGGACCUUGCGCUAAUAGAUGAGCCUAAGUCAGAUUAGCUAGUUGGUGGGGUAAAGGCCUACCAAGGCGACGAUCUGUAGCGGGUCUGAGAGGAUGAUCCGCCACACUGGGACUGAGACACGGCCCAGACUCCUACGGGAGGCAGCAGUGGGGAAUAUUGGACAAUGGGCGAAAGCCUGAUCCAGCCAUGCCGCGUGUGUGAAGAAGGCCUUUUGGUUGUAAAGCACUUUAAGCGAGGAGGAGGCUACUUGGAUUAAUACUCUAGGAUAGUGGACGUUACUCGCAGAAUAAGCACCGGCUAACUCUGUGCCAGCAGCCGCGGUAAUACAGAGGGUGCGAGCGUUAAUCGGAUUUACUGGGCGUAAAGCGUGCGUAGGCGGCUUCUUAAGUCGGAUGUGAAAUCCCUGAGCUUAACUUAGGAAUUGCAUUCGAUACUGGGAAGCUAGAGUAUGGGAGAGGAUGGUAGAAUUCCAGGUGUAGCGGUGAAAUGCGUAGAGAUCUGGAGGAAUACCGAUGGCGAAGGCAGCCAUCUGGCCUAAUACUGACGCUGAGGUACGAAAGCAUGGGGAGCAAACAGGAUUAGAUACCCUGGUAGUCCAUGCCGUAAACGAUGUCUACUAGCCGUUGGGGCCUUUGAGGCUUUAGUGGCGCAGCUAACGCGAUAAGUAGACCGUCUGGGGAGUACGGUCGCAAGACUAAAACUCAAAUGAAUUGACGGGGGCCCGCACAAGCGGUGGAGCAUGUGGUUUAAUUCGAUGCAACGCGAAGAACCUUACCUGGUCUUGACAUAGUAAGAACUUUCCAGAGAUGGAUUGGUGCCUUCGGGAACUUACAUACAGGUGCUGCAUGGCUGUCGUCAGCUCGUGUCGUGAGAUGUUGGGUUAAGUCCCGCAACGAGCGCAACCCUUUUCCUUAUUUGCCAGCGAGUAAUGUCGGGAACUUUAAGGAUACUGCCAGUGACAAACUGGAGGAAGGCGGGGACGACGUCAAGUCAUCAUGGCCCUUACGACCAGGGCUACACACGUGCUACAACGGUCGGUACAAAGGGUUGCUACCUAGCGAUAGGAUGCUAAUCUCAAAAAGCCGAUCGUAGUCCGGAUUGGAGUCUGCAACUCGAC